UAAGGGCGCACGGUGGAUGCCUUGGCACCAGGAGCCGAUGAAGGACGUAGGAGGCUGCGAUAAGCCUCGGGGAGCUGCCAACCGAGCUGUGAUCCGAGGAUUUCCGAAUGGGGAAACCCGGCAGGAGUCAUGUCCUGUCACCCAUACCUGAAUACAUAGGGUAUGCGGAGGGAACGCGGGGAAGUGAAACAUCUCAGUACCCGCAGGAAGAGAAAGCAACCGCGAUUCCGUGAGUAGUGGCGAGCGAAAGCGGAAGAGGCUAAACCGCGUACGCGUGAUACCCGGCAGGGGUUGCGUACGCGGGGUCGUGGGACCGUUCAGUCAGU
rnacentral:rRNA from 1 species